GGCUCAGGAUGAACGCUAGCGGCAGGCUUAACACAUGCAAGUCGAGGGGCAGCGCGAUGGUAGCAAUACAUUGGCGGCGACCGGCGCACGGGUGCGUAACACGUAUGGAAUCUGCCCUGUACUGGGGAAUAGCCCGGAGAAAUCCGGAUUAAUGCCCCCAUAACAGACGAAGUCGGCAUCACUUUGUCUUGAAAGCUCCGGCGGUACAGGGAUGACCAUCGCGCACGAUUAGCUAGUUGGUGAGGUAACGGCUCACCAAGGCUACGAUCGUUAGGGGGCCUGAGAGGGUUAUCCCCCACACUGGUACUGAGACACGGACCAGACUCCUACGGGAGGCAGCAGUGAGGAAUAUUGCGCAAUGGAGGCAACUCUGACGCAGCCAUGCCGCGUGCAGGAAGAAGGCGCUACGCGUUGUAAACUGCUUUACCCGGGAAGAAACCCCCUCUACGUGUGGAGGGUUGACGGUACCGGAGGAAUAAGCACCGGCUAACUUCGUG
rnacentral:rRNA from 1 species